rnacentral:rRNA from 1 species
GACGAACCGUGCGAACGUUGUUCGGAAUCACUGGGCUUAAAGGGCGCGUAGGCGGGCUACCAAGUCUGUGGUGAAAUCCUCCAGCUCAACUGGAGAACGGCCGUGGAUACUGGGAGCCUCGAGGGAGAUAGGGGCAGGCGGAACUGAUGGUGGAGCGGUGAAAUGCGUUGAUAUCAUCAGGAACUCCGGUGGCGAAGGCGGCCUGCUGGAUCUCAUCUGACGCUGAGGCGCGAAAGCCAGGGGAGCAAACGGG